AGUGAACGCUGGCGGUAGGCCUAACACAUGCAAGUCGAACGGCAGCACAGUAAGAGCUUGCUCUUACGGGUGGCGAGUGGCGGACGGGUGAGGAAUACAUCGGAAUCUACUUUUUCGUGGGGGAUAACGUAGGGAAACUUACGCUAAUACCGCAUACGACCUACGGGUGAAAGCAGGGGAUCUUCGGACCUUGCGCGAUUGAAUGAGCCGAUGUCGGAUUAGCUAGUUGGCGGGGUAAAGGCCCACCAAGGCGACGAUCCGUAGCUGGUCUGAGAGGAUGAUCAGCCACACUGGAACUGAGACACGGUCCAGACUCCUACGGGAGGCAGCAGUGGGGAAUAUUGGGCAAUGGGCGCAAGCCUGAUCCAGCCAUACCGCGUGGGUGAAGAAGGCCUUCGGGUUGUAAAGCCCUUUUGCUGGGAAAGAAAAGCAGCAGGUUAAUACCCCGCUGUUCUGACGGUACCCAAAGAAUAAGCACCGGCUAACUUCGUG
rnacentral:rRNA from 1 species